rnacentral:rRNA from 1 species
AUUGAACGCUGGCGGCAGGCUUAACACAUGCAAGUAGAACUAGUGGCGGACGGGUGCGUAAUGCUUGGUACUCUAGCUUAUGGAGGGGGAUAACUACGGGAACCUGUAGCCAAUACCGCGUACCGUAGGAUUAGCCCACGCGGGAUUAGUGAGUUGGUGUGGUAACGGCUCACCAAGCCGACGAAGUCUAGCUGGUCUGAGAGGCUGACCAGCCACACUGGGACUGAGACACGGCCCAGACGCAUACGGGAGGCAGCAGUGGGGAAUAGUGCGAAAGGGGGGCAACCUGACGCAGCCAUGCCGCGUGAAUGAAGAAGGCCUUCGGGUUGUAAAGUUCUUUCGGUAGCGAGGCGGUAACUACAGAAGAAGCACCGGCUAACUCCGUGCCAGCAGCCGCGGUAAUUC